GGAACUGAGCGGUAAGUCCGCUUUAGGUUGUUUGGGGUGUUCCCAUCCAUCCGGUUGGCCAAAGCCUCAACAUCAAAAACCUAGAGGGCGCGCUCAUUUU
rnacentral:sRNA from 1 species